GCUUCUAUCACUUUCAUUUGUUUGACAUGCUUGUUAUCAGAGAAAGGAAGAAAAGUCAAGCGUACAGAGAGAGAGAGAGAAGGAGAGAGAAACCACAGUGCUGGAGUUUCCUGUUAUGGUAGCAAUCUCAUCUCGUGCUGGCCCUCAAACCCAGGUUUUGCACAUGGGAAAAGACAUGCUAUCAGCUACCAGGUUCCAGAGGCCAGCAGGAUGCCAACCAGACUUCCCUAGACAGACAACCCCACCAAUGUGUCCUGGAGCUCCGCUUCCCCAGAGACCCACCUUACUAGGGAAAGAGAGAGGCAGACUGGUAGUAUGGAUCAACCAGUCAAUGCCCAUGUUCAACGGAGCAAUUACAGAAGCCAGA